CAUCCACCCCUUGUCGCUCAUAUGACAUUAUGCAGUAGCGAUCGCCGUAAAACCUUACUAAAACUAAAAUUAUGUUGGGUUCCCUGAUUGGGUGUAGAAAAGGUUGGCAAGCCUGCGUUUCGAAAGUUUUUGCAAAUGUGUUUGUGAUCUGGACAGCGUAGUGUAAAACUCGGGUACGCCACUUUGAAAACUGAUGUUACUCGGACCGAAAGUUACAGCGAGCGGUCGACUUGAAGUCGAGAAAAACUGGUCAGAAGGUGAACGUUUCCAAAAGAAAUGUGAAGCAUUCUGGAAAAAAUUUGCACAUCAAAGGGCACAGGGUUCCGAAGAAUGAGCUUUGAGAAAAUGGUGUUUGAAAUUUUGGGUGAUGUGGAUGUUUGAAGAGUAAAAUAGAAGGUUGGACUUGGUUCUGUUUUUCCUUGCUACAGAAUAUUUGAGCACUGUCUGUUCACUGUGAAAAGUCGUGAAAAUCUCUUUUGUUCGGUUCUUUGCCAUAUCAACAGGCCGAGAGCUAGAACUCAAAUGUCCGCUGGAUCGGAAAAGUAAAGUAUCUUUCGUUUGGUAUCCUAUAUUAAUUAUGUUAAGAAGGGGAUUAGCAUGAAAAUUAGUCUUUUUUCAUAGUCUUUCUCCAUAGUAGUAGUGAAUACUUUGAAAUGUUAGUCAAAGUUGUUGGCUGUAGUAUUAGUGUAAUGUGAUGUUCUGCUGUCUGUGUGUCUAUCAGUGGGAGGACAAGAGGCAAAGUGGGUCGCUGUAUAUGGGUUUAACGCUGCUUUCAACACUUUUAGGUCACUAGAGAGGGGAGAUUUAACGCUGCUUUCAACACUUUUAGGUCACAAGAGAGGGGAGAUUUAACGCUGCUUUCAACACUUUUAGGUCACUAGAGAGGGGGGAUUUAACGCUGCUUUCAACACUUUUAGGUCACUAGAGAGGGGGGACUUAAUGCUGCUUUCAACACUUUUAGGUCAUUAGAGAGGUGGGGGGGCUCCAUUAUGUCACGUCGGUCCCCAGUAGGACUGAGCCCAAUGAGUUGACCAAUGACAGCCUUGAUGUCUCCACUACAGAACCCGAGUGGAAGAACUCCCAGCCUGGGGUUCAAACUUGGGCCAUCCACUGACAGGCGCUAACAACAGGUGUAUGCUUUCUUCUGUAUGCUGAGAAGUUCAUUAACUUUAUCUUUUGAAUACUGCUGCAAUACUUCUUAGGGUCUUAAGUUGAAGUGUUAUGUGUAUUACAUUUCUGAAUACGUUAAACCGGGAUGACUAAGUAAGGCUUAUCUGGGAAAAAGUUAUGAUGAUUUUUAAAUGGGUUUUUUUCGAUAUCAAAAGUGAUUUUGAGUAUUUUUUCAAUGCAUUACCCAAAAGAGUAAUCAAUUUGGGGUGUAUUUGCUUACAUCAUUUUCCCAGCUCUAUGCCUCAGUCACGCCGGGGUGCCGUGGUCACCCCAGUUUACCGUAUAUGUGCUACGAAUGUGAUGACCUUGAUUCUGCUUGUGUGAACCUGAUUGGACAAUAAUUUGCUACGUGUGUUUUCCUAUUGCUGUCGUCACUGGCAGUUCCCCCCCCCAGUAAGGUUGGGAGUCACACUCGACUGUCAUUUAUGUCCCGACCAAGGAUAGUUGUGGGGAAAAGUGCAGAACAGGAAGAUUUUCCCAGAUUUUUCCUACACCGGCGGCUAGUAUAAUCCAUCAGCAGAAGAAUGGUUUAGAAAGUCCACCCCUUACUUAUUCUUUUUAUGGCGAUCACAAAAAAAAAGGGUGGGUGAGGGGGGUGAGGGGGGGGGGCACAAAUUGAUAAUUCAUAAAUUUUUUUUGCUUUCUUUCCUUUUCAUUGCCAUUGUCACAGUACAAUCAUCAUUACUUGUGCAAUGACUCUAUGAGCCGUCUUAUGUUACUUACGUACUAUGUCAUGUCAUCCCCACUGCAAUGAGCCGUCUUGUAUUACUUACGUACUAUGUCAUGUCAUCCCCACUGCAAUGAGCCGUAUGUUUUACUUACUAUUGUUGCUAUAAUGAAAUUGUAAAUACGGUAAACCGGGGUGACUUAGGCAUAUCUGGGAAAAUGUCAUGAUGAUUUUUAGAUUAUUUUUUUC